rnacentral:rRNA from 1 species
AGUGUAGCUCAUAUUUUUUAAUUUUAGUUUGGUUAAGUUAGAAAGGGCGCACGGUGGAUGCCUUGACACUAGGAGUCGAUGAAGGACGGGACUAACGCCGAUAUGCUUCGGGGAGCUGUAAGUAAGCUUUGAUCCGAAGAUUUCCGAAUGGGGAAACCCACCAUACGUAAUGGUAUGGUAUCCUUAUCUGAAUACAUAGGGUAAGGAAGACAGACCCAGGGAACUGAAACAUCUAAGUACCUGGAGGAAGAGAAAGCAAAUGCGAUUUCCUGAGUAGCGGCGAGCGAAACGGAACAUAGCCCAAACCAAGAGGCUUGCCUCUUGGGGUUGUAGGACAUUCUAUACGGAGUUACAAAGGAACGAGGUAGACGAAGCGACCUGGAAAGGUCCGUCGUAGAGGGUAACAACCCCGUAGUCGAAACUUCGUUCUCUCUUGAAUGUAUCCUGAGUACGGCGGAACACGUGAAAUUCCGUCGGAAUCUGGGAGGACCAUCUCCCAAGGCUAAAUACUCCCUAGUGAUCGAUAGUGAACCAGUACCGUGAGGGAAAGGUGAAAAGCACCCCGGAAGGGGAGUGAAAGAGAUCCUGAAACCGUGUGCCUACAAAUAGUCAGAGCCCGUUAACGGGUGAUGGCGUGCCUUUUGUAGAAUGAACCGGCGAGUUACGAUCCCGUGCGAGGUUAAGCUGAAGAGGCGGAGCCGCAGCGAAAGCGAGUCUGAAUAGGGCGUUUAGUACGUGGUCGUAGACCCGAAACCAGGUGAUCUACCCAUGUCCAGGGUGAAGUUCAGGUAACACUGAAUGGAGGCCCGAACCCACGCACGUUGAAAAGUGCGGGGAUGAGGUGUGGGUAGCGGAGAAAUUCCAAUCGAACCUGGAGAUAGCUGGUUCUCCCCGAAAUAGCUUUAGGGCUAGCCUUAAGUGUAAGAGUCUUGGAGGUAGAGCACUGAUUGGACUAGGGGUCCUCAUCGGAUUACCGAAUUCAGUCAAACUCCGAAUGCCAAUGACUUAUCCUUAGGAGUCAGACUGCGAGUGAUAAGAUCCGUAGUCAAAAGGGAAACAGCCCAGACCGCCAGCUAAGGUCCCAAAGUGUGUAUUAAGUGGAAAAGGAUGUGGAGUUGCUUAGACAACUAGGAUGUUGGCUUAGAAGCAGCCACCAUUUAAAGAGUGCGUAAUAGCUCACUAGUCGAGUGACUCUGCGCCGAAAAUGUACCGGGGCUAAAUACACCACCGAAGCUGCGGAUUGAUACCAAUGGUAUCAGUGGUAGGGGAGCGUUCUAAGGACAGUGAAGUCAGACCGGAAGGACUGGUGGAGUGCUUAGAAGUGAGAAUGCCGGUAUGAGUAGCGAAAGACGGGUGAGAAUCCCGUCCACCGAAUGCCUAAGGUUUCCUGAGGAAGGCUCGUCCGCUCAGGGUUAGUCAGGACCUAAGCCGAGGCCGACAGGCGUAGGCGAUGGACAACAGGUUGAUAUUCCUGUACCACCUCUUUAUCGUUUGAGCAAUGGAGGGACGCAGAAGGAUAGAAGAAGCGUGCGAUUGGUUGUGCACGUCCAAGCAGUUAGGCUGAUAAGUAGGCAAAUCCGCUUAUCGUGAAGGCUGAGCUGUGAUGGGGAAGCUCCUUAUGGAGCGAAGUCUUUGAUUCCCCGCUGCCAAGAAAAGCUUCUAGCGAGAUAAAAGGUGCCUGUACCGCAAACCGACACAGGUAGGCGAGGAGAGAAUCCUAAGGUGUGCGAGAGAACUCUGGUUAAGGAACUCGGCAAAAUGACCCCGUAACUUCGGGAGAAGGGGUGCUUUCUUAACGGAAAGCCGCAGUGAAUAGGCCCAAGCGACUGUUUAGCAAAAACACAGCUCUCUGCGAAGCCGUAAGGCGAAGUAUAGGGGGUGACACCUGCCCGGUGCUGGAAGGUUAAGGAGAGGGGUUAGCGUAAGCGAAGCUCUGAACUGAAGCCCCAGUAAACGGCGGCCGUAACUAUAACGGUCCUAAGGUAGCGAAAUUCCUUGUCGGGUAAGUUCCGACCCGCACGAAAGGUGUAACGAUUUGGGCACUGUCUCAACCAGAGACUCGGUGAAAUUAUAGUACCUGUGAAGAUGCAGGUUACCCGCGACAGGACGGAAAGACCCCGUGGAGCUUUACUGUAGCCUGAUAUUGAAUUUUGGUACAGUUUGUACAGGAUAGGCGGGAGCCAUUGAAACCGGAGCGCUAGCUUCGGUGGAGGCGCUGGUGGGAUACCGCCCUGACUGUAUUGAAAUUCUAACCUACGGGUCUUAUCGACCCGGGAGACAGUGUCAGGUGGGCAGUUUGACUGGGGCGGUCGCCUCCUAAAGUGUAACGGAGGCGCCCAAAGGUUCCCUCAGAAUGGUUGGAAAUCAUUCGUAGAGUGCAAAGGCAUAAGGGAGCUUGACUGCGAGACCUACAAGUCGAGCAGGGACGAAAGUCGGGCUUAGUGAUCCGGUGGUUCCGCAUGGAAGGGCCAUCGCUCAACGGAUAAAAGCUACCCCGGGGAUAACAGGCUUAUCUCCCCCAAGAGUCCACAUCGACGGGGAGGUUUGGCACCUCGAUGUCGGCUCAUCGCAUCCUGGGGCUGUAGUCGGUCCCAAGGGUUGGGCUGUUCGCCCAUUAAAGCGGUACGCGAGCUGGGUUCAGAACGUCGUGAGACAGUUCGGUCCCUAUCCGUCGUGGGCGUAGGAAAUUUGAGAGGAGCUGUCCUUAGUACGAGAGGACCGGGAUGGACGCACCGCUGGUGUACCAGUUGUUCUGCCAAGGGCAUAGCUGGGUAGCUAUGUGCGGAAGGGAUAAGUGCUGAAAGCAUCUAAGCAUGAAGCCCCCCUCAAGAUGAGAUUUCCCAUAGCGUAAGCUAGUAAGAUCCCUGAAAGAUGAUCAGGUUGAUAGGUUCGAGGUGGAAGCAUGGUGACAUGUGGAGCUGACGAAUACUAAUAGAUCGAGAACUUAACCAU